UACGGAGGGUGCAAGCGUUGUCCGGAUUUAUUGGGUUUAAAGGGUGCGUAGGCGGCCCGUUAAGUCAGCGGUGAAAUCCCGGGGCUCAACCCCGGAACUGCCGUUGAUACUGGCGGGCUUGAGUUCGGUGAAGGCGGGCGGAACUGGCGGUGUAACGGUGAAAUGCUUAGAUACCGCCAAGAACCCCGAUUGCGUAGGCAGCUCGCUGUGCCGAAACUGACGCUGAGGCACGAAAGCGUGGGGAGCGAACAGG
rnacentral:rRNA from 1 species